AAAAACUAUAAUUUAUUCGCAUUGGUUAUACACAACAAACUAUUUUCAUUUUUUGGUAUUAUAUGUAGACCAUAGCCUGUGCUGGUCAGAUUACAUCAAAUUUGAUAAAAGUCAUGCAACUUUUUAAAUCACAAAUAUCCAGCAGAUGGUGAACCUGCAGUUAUCAGAGUGAGAAAAUAAUCUUCAUUCUUUUCAUUCUAUGUACACUCUAAAUUUCAAGCAAUUGAAUCAACUCGGAAAGUGUUAUUCUGUGACCAAAAACAUUGACAAAAUAACUCUUUUCAAGUUGAUUCUCCGAAAUUUACAGUGUAGUUGUUUUGUAUUCGGUACCAAAAGAUAAAAUAAAGAAUGUAGUUUAUUUUCUCUGCAGAUAUUAUAAAUGUCAGCAAUUUCAAAGUUGGCCACAUUCUGCUGUACUGUAACGUGAUGUAAAGACAAUCAGGUAUUUGAAUCACACAA